rnacentral:rRNA from 1 species
UACGAAGGGGGCUAGCGUUGCUCGGAAUUACUGGGCGUAAAGCGCACGUAGGCGGAUUGUUAAGUCGGGGGUGAAAUCCUGGAGCUCAACUCCAGAACUGCCUUCGAUACUGGCGAUCUCGAGUUCGGGAGAGGUGAGUGGAACUGCGAGUGUAGAGGUGAAAUUCGUAGAUAUUCGCAAGAACACCAGUGGCGAAGGCGGCUCACUGGCCCGAUACUGACGCUGAGGCGCGAAAGCGUGGGGAGCAACAGGAUUAAGAU